rnacentral:rRNA from 1 species
AGCGAACGCUGGCGGCAGGCCUAACACAUGCAAGUCGAACGAACCUUUCGGGGUUAGUGGCGGUCGGGGGGGUAACACGUGGUAACGAGCCCGUAGGUAAGGAAUAACUCAGGGUAAGUUGUGCUAAUACCGAUUGUGCUCUUCGGGGGUAUGAGUUAUCGCUGUUUGGGGGGCGCUGGUCUGAUUAGCUAGUUGGGUGUGGUAAUGGCACACCAAUGCGUCGUUGAGUGGCUGGGCUGUGAGGAUGAUUCGUCACAUUGGGACUGUGACACGGCCCAAACUCCUACGGGAGGCAGGAGUGGGGAAUCUUGCGCAAUGGGCGAAAGCCUGACGCAGCCAUGCCGCGUGAAUGAUGAAGGGCUUAGGAUUGUAAAAUUCUUUGACCGGAGACGUUAAUGACGGUAAUCGGAGAAGAAGCCCCGGCUAACUUCGUG